rnacentral:lncRNA from 1 species
CUCUGCCUGUUUAAAUGUUGCUAGGGCUGUGUUUACAUCCUCAGAACACCACAAAGUGUGCUCGUUACGCACUGUAGCUGAUGACCGCCAGCAACAUUUUUCUAUCCAUCUCGUUCAGGUUGUGAGUAUCCAUGCAUGUUUGAAGAGGUUUGGGAUCAGGAUGGAUGUGGAGGAGACUGGAGCAGGACAGGUGGAGGCAGCGGCCCCAGAGGAAGAGGCAAUAGAUAGAUAGAUAGAUAGAUAGAUAGAUAGAUAGAUAGAUAGAUAGAUAGAUAGAUAGAUAGUGAGUUUUUUUAUUUAGAAAAGCUGAUAUAAAUGAAAUAAACCCAAGUGAACUGAAUCCCUCAGGAGCCUGUGGAAACCUCUGCUCCCAGGAGGCCGAGAGGAAGGCCGAGAGGCAGUAAAAAAUAAAGGCCAGCGGGUCACAGCCAAAGUAAGAGAACUUACUGGAGAGCACUUAAACUUAAGCUGAAUGAUUCUUGUUAUACAGAUAUAUAACAUGCUCUCUCAUUCCUUCAUCUCUUGUUGGAUGUAGGUAGAGCCACCUAGAGAACGGAGACCUCGAGGUAGAC